rnacentral:rRNA from 1 species
AUGCACGCUGGCGGCGUGCCUCAUACAUGCAAGUCGAGCGAACAGACGAGGAGCUUGCUCCUCUGACGUUAGCGGCGGACGGGUGAGUAACACGUGGAUAACCUACCUAUAAGACUGGGAUAACUUCGGGAAACCGGAGCUAAUACCGGACAAUAUAUUGAACCGCAUGGUUCAAUAGUGAAAGACGGUUUUGCUGUCACUUAUAGAUGGAUCCGCGCCGCAUUAGCUAGUUGGUAAGGUAACGGCUUACCAAGGCGACGAUGCGUAGCCGACCUGAGAGGGUGAUCGGCCACACUGGAACUGAGACACGGUCCAGACUCCUACGGGAGGCAGCAGUAGGGAAUCUUCCGCAAUGGGCGAAAGCCUGACGGAGCAACGCCGCGUGAGUGAUGAAGGUCUUCGGAUCGUAAAACUCUGUUAUUAGGGAAGAACAAAUGUGUAAGUAACUAUGCACGUCUUGACGGUACCUAAUCAGAAAGCCACGGCUAACUACGUG